rnacentral:snoRNA from 1 species
AAGAUUGCCCAUCUCUACAGUGCACCCAUAGACAGUCACACACGUCUAAAUACCGGGUUCCUCCCGACACGGUCAGUAUAGUUAUCAGCUUUUCUGUGUGAUGGUGCCAUACAAA